rnacentral:lncRNA from 1 species
CCGUGGGCCUUGUUGAAGCAUAAAAAAAAGGGGAAGAAGAAGAAGAAAAAAAAAAGGAGAAAGAAAAAAGGUAGAAAGACAGAAAAUUUGAAUAAUGGUGUAUGAGAUGAUUCAUGCACUAGGUGCAUGGAAAAAUUCGAGUUCAAAUUUUGAACCUGGUGCAUAGGUUAAUCCAUGCACCAGGUGCAUAGAUUACAAAAAGUGGGAUGUUCUCGUAGGCAUGAAUGGGUAUUACAAAUAGCAAAUUAGUCCUUUCCCUUUCAUAUAUUUGUAAGAUGCUCCUUCAAACAUUUUAACUAAGGUAUAAUAUAAAUAAAUGGGAAGGACUAAUAUGCAAUUUAAUACCCAUGAUCCCAUGAUCCUACAUCGUAACUUCCCACAAACCUCACCAUACGCACGCACCAUACGCACGUUCUCCAGGACAGUUACGACUAGUCCCAUAAAUAUCUCUCAAUGAGAAAAGA